rnacentral:tRNA from 1 species
GAUCGUGUGGCCUAGUGGUUAGGGCAUGUCCUUUACAGUAUUCAGUAUUGAUCGGAUGGGAUCGCAGGUUCGACCCCUGCCACGAUCA